rnacentral:lncRNA from 1 species
AAAAAGUGGAACUACUGUGGAGCUGAUCACCUUAGGGAAUCACUGAUAGAUGGAAAUACAAAAAGUCUUUCUAAGGAUAAAAAAUAAAUUUAGGAAGAAUAGGGCACAGGAAUAUUGAAAGGAUAGUAGUUGAUAAUCUGAAGAGUUGCAGAAUUCUUGAUUAUGGAAGUGGAACAACUUCAAGUGAUGCUCUUGCAGACAUCACUGAAGGAAGAGCAAGCUUUGUGGAGAAGAGACCCACCAUUCCUUUCAAUGCCCACACCAAACACCAAACAACUUCUAUCAAUGAGCAUACUGAAUCUCGAGUAUGCAAAAAGCCCCAAAUGUGUCAAAGAUCAAGCUCCUCCUGGACUGCAGUUUGUUGUUUGUACCUCAAGCUGGACUCUUUGUGUCCUUGGGAUUAACAGGUACCAUUCAGUCGGUACCAGACUGAGAAAUUAUGCAACUAAGGCCCUUGUAGACAAACAACAAUCAUAGCUUCAGUCUAGCAGUUCCCACUGAACACUGCAUUUCCAUCCUACUUUAUGAUGUCCCCCUUCCCUUUCUUUUGUCUUUCUCAUUCCCUUCCAGAGGGGAAUAAUCUUUUCCCUACUCCUAUUACUCUUUGCUUCCUCCCAUGUUAUUCCCAUUUGGGAGGGGGUUGCUAUCUACUCUUCCCAUUGCUGCAAUUUUAUAAAUAUAUUACCUUCUGUUUGGAUUGUGAAAUCCUUCAUCCUGUAGAGGAAUUACACAUAAAAAGUAAUUUCUCUUGAAAUAAAUCUAGUUGCAAUGAAUGUCUCAUGAACUUGAGUUAUUUUUUAAAUUUAUUUUUUUUGUUUUGUUUUUUUGGUUAAUAACCAUCACAACAAUAUGUGUUGGUAAGCUUAAGAGCCCUGGGAAUAACAGCAAUACCCACUUCUCACUUCCAGCAUGUCAAAAGAAAUGAUUUGACAUUAGAAACCUACAUGGUUUUAUUAAUAGAAAUGAUAUUAAUUAAGAAGCAUUACCACUUACUUUGAUGUUGUACCAUAAGGACCAAGGGACUUUUCAAUAUUACUUGUAGCUGAAGUCACCUGAUUUUACUCUUUCUAUUAGAACAUGAGCUCCAUGUUCUUCUGAAAAGAGGCUGUUUUGCUUCUCUCUUCAUAUCCCUGACAUUUACCAUGAUUUGUGCCCAUAUUAAGCAUUCAAUAGGCUCUUUUCAUUCAUUCAUUUUUCCAUUCAUUCAUCAGUAUGGAUAAGUCUUAAGAGAUUGUCUUUAAUAUAUGCCCCAAAAGAUAACAGAUCUCUCCUUAUUGUUUUCAAUCUGACAAAUAACUGCCUCAAUAUCCUCAAAGAAGGAAUCAACAUUAUAUUAAUACUUUUCUAUUCUGCCUCAAAACAUUAUUAGAUGAUUUCUCACUUGAUGUUUUUUGUGCUUCUGUUAUAUUAUUUUUGGAAGGACACUAAUUUCUCCCUCCUUUAUUACCUUAGCAAAGGUCAAAUCUCGCCCUUUCUAAAUCAAAUUCUUUUUUUAUUUCCUGUUAAAUCAUUGUUUCCUUUGGUAACUUCAUUUUGCUGAAUAAUCUGCAGUGUGGAGAAAUAUUCUUUAAAUUCUUUCUCCUCCUGGAAGAUCAGUCUAUACUUGGAACACAGAUCACAAUCACUUCACUAUGACAAAAGUACAAAAAAACUUAUACUCAGGGUAAGUUUCUGCACCAUUUUUCCUACUUUACAUAAUGGUCUAAAGAAAUCAAGUAAUUUGAUAUCUGGAUUCACUAUAAAUGAGUGAUUUCUAACUUUAUCCAUAUCCUCAUUGCAUUCUUACUGACUUUUAAUUAGAACUUAGCUUAUAACCCAGCAGAAAUCAGGGAGUUAUGAGGUUUAAAGAAUUCCCUGGUCUCAGUCUGAUGUACAUUUCUUAAAAGUGAUGUUAUCAACCUCUGAUAAAAAAUAUGGAAAACUUUUCAUUGCCUCUAGUGUUGGGCCUUCAUAAUGGGACUAGAUUAUUUUGCUUAAAAUAAAGCAAAGAGUCAGCAAGGAUAGGAAAGAUGUGUGGGGGUGGGGUAGGGGAUGUGUAUGUAUAUGUAGUAUCUACAUAAAUAUAUCUUUUCUUAACUAUAGUUUGCUUGGUGAUGAUAGGGGGAAAGUGGAGAAAAAAAUAAAGUUAAAAAAUUGCACAUCAGAAAACAAAAGAACAAUUUACAAGUAAGUAAAGAUGGAUAUUCAUAAAUAUAAUUUCUUCUACUAAAAUAUAUAUAGAGAGAUAGACAUAAAACACAACAAAUUACUAAUUUAGCAAAGUUAUUGAACUAGUAAUUUGUUGUUAUAUAUUUUGAAUCCUCCCUGCUGUUCUGUUGGACACAUGAUAGUAUUCUCUUUUGUUUUAUUUUAUUUUCCUUUGGUAUCCUUUUCUAUUUUUCUUAUUUUUUUUAAAUAAAAUAAAAUUUUAAAAUGGUCUCACAUAUAUUGCACAAUUAAAUGAAAUCAAAAUGUGGAUUCCAAAGUGUAAUGAUAAGCAUUUUUAUUAUAUAUAUAUGUAUGUGUGUGUGUAUGUGUGCGUGUGUGUGAGUGUGUGUGUGUAUACGUAUAUAUAUAUAUAUGUAUAAAACUGUUCAAAUUAUGAGGGAAAAGAAAAGCUGGUGAUAUUUAAUACAUUGCAGAGCUGAAGCAGUAUUCUUUCUGUUUUUCUUGAUGAUGUAGUGACACCCUCUGGUAACAUUCAUCUAUUACAAUAAUUUUCAACUGGUUUAGUUUAAUAUUGAUUGAUAUGUAUUCUUUAUAACAAACGAUCAGUUGUUAAGCAUCUAAAUAUAUUAUGACCAAGAGAAAAAUAUUACAAAAGAAAAGAGAAUCCAACUGGAAUUUCUAGUGACUAUAUUUUUCAAGAAAUUGGGACAUAGUUAAGAUAGCUGUUUAUUCCACUAUAUUUGCAUCUUCCAUAACAAUGAAUAAACUUAAUUCUUAAUAUCUUUAUGGAUAAUUUUUGGUAAACUAUCUAGACAAAUACUUCCAAUGUGUUAUAUCUAGAGCAGCCUCAGUGGAUAAUUUAAGGAGAAAUACAAACAACAUAUUGUUAGGGACUUUCCUUCUGAGAAUUACCAUGUAUGCUAGGUCAGAUGGUAGAGUGGACCCAGAAGGUAAAAAGGGGCUUGGCCUCUGAGGCAGGAGCUUGUGUCUUAUAGGUAUUUCCUUGAGAUAGCAAGGGGUGUGUCCUCUUGCUAGAUCUUUUCUUAGGAUGCAGCACUAACUCCAGGUCUCUCCCUUCUGGGGAUUCACCUACGCAGUGCUGAGUGGACUAGGCACAAGGUAAUCUCAGAGGAGACUAAUUAUAAAUGACCUGCUUUGAAUCCAUAGGCAAGAAGGAUGCAGAGAGAAGUAGAGAAAUUCAGGGAUGCAGAGAGAGAGCCGCAGAGACAUACAUACAUUUGUUCUUGCUUUCUGAUAACCCCUGCUGAGAUUACCAAUAAAGAAAGGCUGUUUGGCACCUUAACAUCAACUCGGCUUCAUGUCUACCCAGAUUGAUGAUUCAGAAAAAGAGAAAAGACUCUACGUAUUCCAAAAUGAUCUUUGUGGUGACAAAGAAUUAGAAAAUGCAGAGAUGCCCACAAAAUGGGGAAUGGCUGAAGAACUUGUGGUAUAUGAUUGUGAUGAAAUAAUGUGUUUAGAAAUGAUGAGCUCAAUGAUCUUAGAAAAACAUGGAAAGACUUGCAUUAAAUAAUGAAGAAUAAAAUGAGGAGAACCAAGAGAAAAAUGGUAUAUAGUAUAAACAAUAUUAUUUUUAAAAUAAUUUUGAGCAUAUCAGUCAUUUUGUCUAGUAUAAAUAUCUAAAUUAACUACAAAGGACAUAUGAAGAAAGGCACUAAAGCAUCCAGAGAAAUAAUUGAUAAAUAUAAGUAUGUAAAGAAUAAAUGCAUAUAUACAAAAAUAAACAUAUACAUAUGUAUAUGUGUGUGUGUCUAAUGGUAGCCAUGGAGGGGAAGGGGAAAAAAAAGGACAUGUACAUGAUAGUUUUUUGGUAUAUUUGAAAG